GACGAACGCUGGCGGCGUGCCUAAUACAUGCAAGUCGAGCGAAUCAAAGGGAGCUUGCUCCCUGAGGUUAGCGGCGGACGGGUGAGUAACACGUGGGCAACCUGCCUGUAAGACUGGGAUAACUUCGGGAAACCGGAGCUAAUACCGGAUAAUUCCUUUCCUCCCAUGAGGAAAGGCUGAAAGACGGUUUACGCUGUCACUUACAGAUGGGCCCGCGGCGCAUUAGCUAGUUGGUGAGGUAACGGCUCACCAAGGCAACGAUGCGUAGCCGACCUGCGAGGGUGGUCGGCCACACUGGGACUGAGACACGGCCCAGACUCCUACGGGAGGCAGCAGUAGGGAAUCUUCCGCAAUGGACGAAAGUCUGACGGAGCAACGCCGCGUGAGUGAUGAAGGUUUUCGGAUCGUAAAACUCUGUUGUUAGGGAAGAACAAGUAUGAGAGUAACUGCUCGUACCUUGACGGUACCUAACCAGAAAGCCACGGCUAACUACGUGCCAGCCGCCGCCGUAAAAC
rnacentral:rRNA from 1 species